rnacentral:rRNA from 1 species
CAGUAGCCGCGGUAAAACGAAGGGGGCUAGCGUUGUUCGGAUUUACUGGGCGUAAAGCGCACGUAGGCGGACUUUUAAGUCAGGGGUGAAAUCCCGGGGCUCAACCCCGGAACUGCCUUUGAUACUGGAAGUCUUGGGUAUGGUAGAGGUGAGUGGAAUUCCGAGUGUAGAGGUGAAAUUCGUAGAUAUUCGGAGGAACACCAGUGACGAAGGCGGCUCACUGGACCAUUACUGACGCUGAGGUGCGAAAGCGUGGGGAGCAAACAGGAUUAGAUACCCCCGUAGUCCCUGUCUCUUAUAC